GCAUGGGUUGGAUUUAUGGCAGGCCUGCCCCCUGGGCUUUUCAUAGUGUCCCAUGCCAGAGCAAACUGUAGCCCUGAACCAUUGCCUGGCCUCUACUUCUGACCUACUGGCACAGAGAGGAAAAAGAA
ensembl:snoRNA